GGAGCCGACCAGACAACCGCCGCCGCGUUACGGGGGAGGAAAGUCCGGGCUCCGCAGGGCAGUGUGCCAGUUAACGGCUGGGCGGCGCGAGCCGACGGAAAGUGCCACAGAGAAUGAACCGCCUAAGUCCCGCAAGGGGCCGGUAAGGGUGAAAAGGUGCGGUAAGAGCGCACCGCGUCCCUGGCAACAGGGGCGGCACGGAAAACCCCACACGGAGCAAGGCCAAAUAGGGAAGGACGGGCUGUUGCAGCGAUGCGCGGCCCGACGCGUGGCCCACGCGCCUUCCGGGUAGGCUGCUGGAGACGUCGGGUGACCGCCGUCCUAGAGGAAUGGUUGUCUCGGCGCCGCAAGGCCGCUAGACAGAACCCGGCUUAUCGGUCGGCUCCCCAC
rnacentral:RNase_P_RNA from 1 species